rnacentral:rRNA from 1 species
AUACGUAUGGAGCAAGCGUUAUCCGGAUUUACUGGGUGUAAAGGGAGCGUAGACGGCAUAGCAAGUCUGAAGUGAAAUCCCAUGGCUUAACCAUGGAACUGCUUUGGAAACUGCCAGGCUAGAGUGCAGGAGAGGUAAGCGGAAUUCCUAGUGUAGCGGUGAAAUGCGUAGAUAUUAGGAGGAACACCAGUGGCGAAGGCGGCUUACUGGACUGUAACGGACGUUGAGGCUCGAAAGCGUGGGGAGCAAACAGGAUUAGAUACCCUGGUAGUCCACGCUGUAAACGAUGAUUACUAGGUGUUGGGGACCAAAGGUCCUCGGUGCCGCCGCAAACGCAUUAAGUAAUCCACCUGGGGAGUACGUUCGCAAGAAUGAAACUCAAAUGAAUUGACGGGG